rnacentral:rRNA from 1 species
UACAGAGGUCUCAAGCGUUGUUCGGAUUCAUUGGGCGUAAAGGGUGCGUAGGCGGCGCGGUAAGUCGGGUGUGAAAUCUUGGAGCUUAACUCCGAAACUGCAUUCGAUACUGCCGUGCUUGAGGACUGGAGAGGAGACUGGAAAUUUACGGUGUAGCGGUGAAAAUGCGUAGAUAUCGUAAGGAAGACCGUGGCGAAGGCGGGUCUCUGGACAGUUCCUGA